AGCAGCCAUGGCCAGCUCCAGGCGAGGCGGCCUCCUGCUCCUGCUGCUGCUGACUGCCCACCCUGGACCCUCAGAGGCUCAGCACUGGUCCCAUGGCUGAUACCCUGGAGGAAAGCAAGCCCUCAGCUCAGCCCAGGAUCCCCAGAAUGCCCUUAGGCCCCCAGCAGGCAGCCCAGUCCAGACUGCCCAUGGCCUCCCAAGUGAUGCCCUGGCUCCCCUGGAAGACAGCAUGCCCUGGGAGGGCAGGACCACGGCCUGGUGGUCCCUUCGCAGGAAGCGACACCUGGCACGGACACUGCUGACCGCAGCCCGAGAGCCCCGACCCGCCCCGCCGUCCUCCAAUUAAGUGUGACGUUCUCCGA